ACUCAAAUGAAUAGACGGGGGCCCGCACAAGCGGCGGAGCAUGCGGAUUAAUUCGAUGCAACGCGAAGAACCUUACCUGGGUUUGACAUAUGCGGAAAACCUGCAGAGAUGUAGGGUCCUUACGGGCCGCAUACAGGUGGUGCAUGGCUGUCGUCAGCUCGUGUCGUGAGAUGUUGGGUUAAGUCCCGCAACGAGCGCAACCCUCGUCCUAUGUUGCCAGCACAUAAUGGUGGGGACUCAUAGGAGACUGCCGGGGUCAACUCGGAGGAAGGUGGGGAUGACGUCAAGUCAUCAUGCCCCUUAUGUCCAGGGCUUCACGCAUGCUACAAUGGCCAGUACAGUGGGCUGCGAAACCGCAAGGUAGAGCGAAUCCCAAAAAGCUGGUCUCAGUUCGGAUUGGGGUCUGCAACUCGACCCCAUGAAGUCGGAGUCGCUAGUAAUCGCAGAUCAGCAACGCUGCGGUGAAUACGUUCCCGGGCCUUGUACACACCGCCCGU
rnacentral:rRNA from 1 species